ACUGUUCACAGAACUACUAGUAAUGGUCAAUUCUCUACGAGGAUUGUAAAAGAGUUACAUAGAAUAUGUUUUGAAUAUUAUAUUAAAAAAUGUAGAAUCAAAUUUUCCAUUUCAAAUCAGCUGAAAUUUAAUUUGAUUACAGGUCGAUGAUUUCAAUAAAAGGGUGAAUUUUACUGUAUCAUUUAUUGUGGUGGGCCUGGCUACAUUCUUCUCUUAUCAUAAUGGUCAACGAGUAUUCAACCAGAAUGAUAUCCUACGUCGCGCAUUGGCCGAGCUUCCAUGGACAGACAAGCCUGAGUGGUUAAAGAAGAAUCUGCACAUCAUGAUGACCCGAGCCAACGUCGACAUCGAAAUGCGGCCCUUUGGCGUCUACACGCUCAACUAUAUGUCAUUCAAAGAUUUGAUGAAAACGGCGUAUUCCUUUGGGACAUUCUUUAUACAAAGAAGCUGAGUAGUCAAACACAAUAUUAAAAUUGGUGAGUAUUUCAAAAAUGGAAACCAAUGUGCAGGACAACAUAGGUUUUGAUUGGAGUUACUUUCUAUUGUUACAUCAAAAAUGUUUAGUCCCAGUGAAAUUGAAUGCAAGGAUAUUUUGUUAAUGUAAGAGUAAUAUCAGUUGAUAAAGUGAGUAUCCGAUUGGCCUAAUAUUGUUUUUUCCUCCACCUCCUGUCUAAAGUGCUUACUUUACUCCCUGGA